UACGUAGGGGGCAAGCGUUGUCCGGAAUUAUUGGGCGUAAAGCGCGCGCAGGCGGCUUAUUAAGUCUGAUGUGAAAGCCCACGGCUCAACCGUGGAGGGCCAUUGGAAACUGGUAGGCUUGAGUGCGGCAGAGGAGACUGGAAUUCCUGGUGUAGCAGUGAAAUGCGUAGAUAUCAGGAGGAAUACCGAUGGCGAAGGCAGGUCUCUGGGCUGACACUGACGCUCAUGCACGAAAGCGUGGGGAGCAAACAGG
rnacentral:rRNA from 1 species